rnacentral:rRNA from 1 species
UAGUAAUCGUGGAUCAGCACGCCACGGUGAAUACGUUCCCGGGUCUUGUACACACCGCCCGUCACGCCAUGGAAGUCGGCAGUACCCAAAGCAGGUCGCUUAACCUUCGGGAGAGAGCCUGUUAAGGUAAGGCUGGUAACUGGGGCGAAGUCGUAACAAGGUAGCCGUACCGGAAGGUGCGGCUGGAUCACCUCCUUUCUAAGGAG